UCUUCCCUCUUUCUUCGUGCUUAACACAUGCAAGUCGAACGGAAAGGCCCUGCUUGCCGGGUACUCGAGUGGCGAACGGGUGAGUAACACGUGGGUGAUCUGCCCUGUACUUUGGGAUAAGCCUGGGAAACUGGGUCUAAUACCGAAUAUGACAAUUGUUUGGAUGCGAUUGUGGAAAGCUUUUGCGGUAUGGGAUGAGCUCGCGGCCUAUCAGCUUGUUGGUGGGGUAAUGGCCUACCAAGGCGUCGAGGGGUAGCCGGCCUGAGAGGGUGUACGGCCACAUUGGGAUGGAGAGACGGCCCAGACUCCGACGGGAGGCAGCAGUGGGGAAUAUUGCACAAUGGGAGCAAGCCUGAUGCAGCGACGCCGCGUGGGGGAUGACGGCCUUCGGGGUGUAAACUCCUGUCGCAACUGACGAAGCCUUUUGGUGACGUUAGGUGGAGAAGAAGCACCGGCUAACUCCGUG
rnacentral:rRNA from 1 species